rnacentral:piRNA from 1 species
UAAUAACUGGUAAAGUUGGGAUGUCAGC